rfam:Gammaproteobacteria bacterium MFB021 Contig-003, whole genome shotgun sequence.
UCCACCUGCUGCGGGCAGAUGAAGUGGAUAUGCGCAUCGAUCGCGCCGGCGGUGAGGAUCUUGCCCUCACCGGCGAUCACCUCGGUGCCUGGGCCGAUCACGAUGGUCACCGCCGGCUGCACGUCGGGGUUGCCGGCCUUGCCGAUGGCGGCGAUGCGCCCUGCCUUGAGGCCGACAUCGGCCUUGACGAUCCCCCACCAGUCGAGGAUCAGCGCAUUGGUGAUCACGGUGUCCAUCACCGCCUCGUCGCAGCGCUGGCUCUGGCCCAUGCCGUCACGGA